rnacentral:sRNA from 1 species
CUGUGCUAGGCUGAAAGGAGGCUUCUUCUCCUUCAUAGCUUCCUGUACUGUGUCCUCCUGAGGUUGUGCAAUCAGCUGAAUAAUUUGACUUUUCCAUACAGAGAAGGGUCACCCUUUGGCCAAUGAUCUAUAAGUAGCUGCCUUCCUGAUGCCUUUCAAGUUGCAACUAGGAGAAGUACCAAAUGACCAUCACCAUUAAAAGUCCUGGCAGUUU